GACAGAGGAUGCAAGCGUUAUCCGGAAUGAUUGGGCGUAAAGCGUCUGUAGGUGGCUUUUUAAGUCCGCCGUCAAAUCCCAGGGCUCAACCCUGGACAGGCGGUGGAAACUACCAAGCUGGAGUACGGUAGGGGCAGAGGGAAUUUCCGGUGGAGCGGUGAAAUGCGUAGAUAUUGGAAAGACCACCAAUGGCGAAGGCACUCUACUGGGCCAUUACUGACACUGAGAGACGAAAGCUAGGGGAGCGAA
rnacentral:rRNA from 1 species